rnacentral:lncRNA from 1 species
CGACGUCAGAGGCGCGGGUGUUCGGCUGCGUCACUGGGGCGCUAUGGUGCCUGGAGCUGGGCAGUUUUCUCGUCAGAGUGGGGACUGAUGAUGAUUAUUCCCCACCUUCUAAGAGACAAAGACCAACGAGCCACCACAGCCACCAGUCCCAGAACCCGCCAAUGCUGGGGAACGGAAAAUGAGGGAGUUCAACUCUGAGAAAUGGAAUCAUCGUAUCGCUGAUCUACGUAAACAAACUGAAGAAUUGUCUGAAAGAAAAUAUGACAUGAACUUAUGAAUUCAACAGGUGAAGAUUUACAACUUGAUAAAUCAACUUUGUGAGCUCGAGCUGUAAAAGCCAAAGGUCUGGUGAUGAUCCCAUACCCUUUUUUCCAGUCUCAUGUUGAAGAUUUUUAUGUAGAAGGCCUUCCCAAAGGAAUUUUUUUUUUUUUUUUUUUUUGAGAUGGAGUUUUCACUCUUAUCGCCCAGGCUGGGGUGCAAUGGCGCAACCUUGCUGGUCACUGCAACCUCUGCCUCCUGGGUUCAAGAAAUUCUCCUGCCUUAGCCUCCCAAGUCGCUGGGAUUAUAGGUGCCCACCACCACACCAGGCUAAUUUUUGUAUUUUUAGUGGAGAUGGGGUUUCACCAUGUUGGCCGGGCCAGUCUCGAACUCCUGAUGUCAAGUGAUCUUCCCGCCUCGACUCCUGACAUCAAGUGAUCUUCCCGCCUCGGCCUCCCAGAGUGCUGAGAUUACAGACGUGAACCCAUGCCUGGCCAGGAAUUUUGUUUUUUAGGAAGGCUUUCUACUAAUGGAAUUCCUGGCCUUGAGAGGAUGUUACUUUCGAAGGAAAGGAUUUUUUUGUUAUUAAAAGAGCCACCUAAGCUGAAGAUUCCCUUGAGAACAAGUACUGUCCUGCGGUUUCAUGGCCUUUCUUCCAUUUGUGGUUCUUGUGAAGUGGAAUUUAAAUGACAUCUUAUCAAGAUGGAUAAACCCUAGUUUCCCAGUGCUGGAAUAUAGAAAAUGGAUGGACAAGUAAAUCCCACUCAGCACCCAUAGUCCAGGCAUGGGGACCUCAACACACCUGAGCACCAGACAUCACCUUUCAUUCUGGACCUACCAUGAAAGACUUCUGAAUCCAGGAAGAGAAACUGACUGGGCAACAUGUUAUUCAGAUGGGGUCUUCUUAUGUUGCCCAGGUUGGUCUCAAAUUGCUAGGCUCAAGUGAUUCCACCCACCUCUGCCUCCCACAGUGCUGGGAUUACGGGCAUGAGCCAGCGCAUCUGGCCACCUUAUUUUCAAUUACUGGCUCAAUGUAAUGGCUCCAUCUCAGGAACAGCCAAUGAAAGAGAUGCACAGGACAAGAGAUGGGACCUCAGUAUGUUGCCACGGCUGACCUUGAACUCCUGCACUCAAGGGAUUUUCCUACCCUGGCCUCCCAAAGUAUUGGUAUUACAGGCAUGAGCCAUUGUGCCCACCGUCUCUGGUUCUUAACCUUCUGCCUCCCUCUUCCAGUUUUAAAGAAUGCUUGUAAUUACAUGGGCUCUCCUAGAUACUCCAGGAUAAUCUUGUUUUAAGGUCAGCUGAUGAGCAACAUUAAUUUUAUCUGCACUAUUAAUUCCCCCUUCCUAUGUAAUUGUGCUGUGUAACAUAGGACAUGAGCAAUUGGUGGCGGUGGGGGUUAUUACUUUGGCCACCACAGUAACUAUUUUAUGCCAGGUACUCAGCUAAGCACUGGUGAAUUAAGCAUGAAUAACACACACUCCCUAAUCUCCAUCCAUUCAUGGGAGGAGCACUUCACCUGCCAUGCUCCUGAGAAUCUCGGGAGUCAGAGAAGUCUUCUAUGAGGAGGUGAUGCCAAAGCGGACAAGUGACAGAGGAGUCAAAGCUAGCUAGGAAGGGAGUAGAGGUUUAAGGGGAAGCAUAUUAUAAGCAGAGGAUAUUACCCACUUCAGAGACUCCCAGAGGAGAAAGAGUGUGCGUUCAAGAGGCAGAUGAGGCUCAGUUGGACUCCAUAGCAGAUGAAAUGGAGAGGGGCAAGCAGUGAGGCUGCCUUGCAAGGCAGGGCAGAGCAGGGGCUGUUAAGGAGUUUGGACUUAAUCCCUGAGGCAAGGAGAAGUGAUGUAAAUGGAGGAGUAACAUGAUGAGAUUCAUGGAUUAGAGACAUGGCUCAGGCUGCUGUAGAGAAGGCACCAGGGAGAGCAGAUGGCUCAAUGGGUGUGCAGGAGACCUCUCCCUGAGUUUAGGGAGAGGUUUUUAAAACAGAAGAAGUUUGAGUAAUUUAAAUGAUG